CUGGAGGUAUCAGAAGUGCGAAUGCUGACAUAAGUAACGAUAAAGCGGGUGAAAAGCCCGCUCGCCGGAAGACCAAGGGUUCCUGUCCAACGUUAAUCGGGGCAGGGUGAGUCGACCCCUAAGGCGAGGCCGAAAGGCGUAGUCGAUGGGAAACAGGUUAAUAUUCCUGUACUUGGUGUUACUGCGAAGGGGGGACGGAGAAGGCUAUGUUGGCCGGGCGACGGUUGUCCCGGUUUAAGCGUGUAGGCUGGUUUUCCAGGCAAAUCCGGAAAAUCAAGGCUGAGGCGUGAUGACGAGGCACUACGGUGCUGAAGCAACAAAUGCCCUGCUUCCAGGAAAAGCCUCUAAGCAUCAGGUAACAUCAAAUCGUACCCCAAACCGACACAGGUGGUCAGGUAGAGAAUACCAAGGCGCUUGAGAGAACUCGGGUGAAGGAACUAGGCAAAAUGGUGCCGUAACUUCGGGAGAAGGCACGCUGAUAUGUAGGUGAAGUCCCUCGCGGAUGGAGCUGAAAUCAGUCGAAGAUACCAGCUGGCUGCAACUGUUUAUUAAAAACACAGCACUGUGCAAACACGAAAGUGGACGUAUACGGUGUGACGCCUGCCCGGUGCCGGAAGGUUAAUUGAUGGGGUUAGCGGUAACGCGAAGCUCUUGAUCGAAGCCCCGGUAAACGGCGGCCGUAACUAUAACGGUCCUAAGGUAGCGAAAUUCCUUGUCGGGUAAGUUCCGACCUGCACGAAUGGCGUAAUGAUGGCCAGGCUGUCUCCACCCGAGACUCAGUGAAAUUGAACUCGCUGUGAAGAUGCAGUGUACCCGCGGCAAGACGGAAAGACCCCGUGAACCUUUACUAUAGCUUGACACUGAACAUUGAGCCUUGAUGUGUAGGAUAGGUGGGAGGCUUUGAAGUGUGGACGCCAGUCUGCAUGGAGCCGGCCUUGAAAUACCACCCUUUAAUGUUUGAUGUUCUAACGUUGGCCCCUGAUCGGGGUUGCGGACAGUGUCUGGUGGGUAGUUUGACUGGGGCGGUCUCCUCCUAAAGAGUAACGGAGGAGCACGAAGGUUGGCUAAUCCUGGUCGGACAUCAGGAGGUUAGUGCAAUGGCAUAAGCCAGCUUGACUGCGAGCGUGACGGCGCGAGCAGGUGCGAAAGCAGGUCAUAGUGAUCCGGUGGUUCUGAAUGGAAGGGCCAUCGCUCAACGGAUAAAAGGUACUCCGGGGAUAACAGGCUGAUACCGCCCAAGAGUUCAUAUCGACGGCGGUGUUUGGCACCUCGAUGUCGGCUCAUCACAUCCUGGGGCUGAAGUAGGUCCCAAGGGUAUGGCUGUUCGCCAUUUAAAGUGGUACGCGAGCUGGGUUUAGAACGUCGUGAGACAGUUCGGUCCCUAUCUGCCGUGGGCGCUGGAGAACUGAGGGGGGCUGCUCCUAGUACGAGAGGACCGGAGUGGACGCAUCACUGGUGUUCGGGUUGUCAUGCCAAUGGCACUGCCCGGUAGCUAAAUGCGGAAGAGAUAAGUGCUGAAAGCAUCUAAGCACGAAACUUGCCCCGAGAUGAGUUCUCCCUGACUCCUUGAGAGUCCUGAAGGAACGUUGAAGACGACGACGUUGAUAGGCCGGGUGUGUAAGCGCAGCGAUGCGUUGAGCUAACCGGUACUAAUGAACCGUGAG
rnacentral:rRNA from 1 species